rnacentral:rRNA from 1 species
GAUGAACGCUGGCGGCGUGCCUAAUACAUGCAAGUCGAACGCUGGAGCUCUAGCUUGCUAGAUCGAAGGAGUGGCGAACGGGUGAGUAAUACAUAAGCAACCUACCCACGAAGACUGGGAUAAUCUCUGGAAACGGGGACUAAUACCGGAUAGGUAAUCGGAAGGCAUCUUCUGGUUAUUAAAGGUUAAAAACACUGGUGGAUGGGCUUAUGGCGCAUUAGUUAGUUGGUGAGGUAACGGCCCACCAAGACGAUGAUGCGUAGCCGGCCUGAGAGGGUGAACGGCCACAUUGGGACUGAGACACGGCCCAGACUCCUACGGGAGGCAGCAGUAGGGAAUUGUCGGCAAUGGGGGCAACCCUGACCGAGCAACGCCGCGUGAGUGAAGACGGCCUUCGGGUUGUAAAGCUCUGUUGUAAGGGAAGAACGGUAGAUAGAGAAUAUCUAAGUGACGGUACCUUACCAGAAAGCCACGGCUAACUACGUG